rnacentral:rRNA from 1 species
GACGAACGCUGGCGGCGUGCUUAACACAUGCAAGUCGAACGGAAAGGCCCUGCUUUUGUGGGGUGCUCGAGUGGCGAACGGGUGAGUAACACGUGAGUAACCUGCCCUUGACUUUGGGAUAACUUCAGGAAACUGGGGCUAAUACCGGAUAGGAGCUCCUGCUGCAUGGUGGGGGUUGGAAAGUUUCGGCGGUUGGGGAUGGACUCGCGGCUUAUCAGCUUGUUGGUGGGGUAGUGGCUUACCAAGGCUUUGACGGGUAGCCGGCCUGAGAGGGUGACCGGCCAAAUGGGGAAUGGGAAACGGCCCGACCCCCUCGGGGGGGAAGGAGGGGGGAAUAUUGCAAAAUGGGGGGAAGCCUGAUGCAGCAACGCCGGGGGGGGGAUGACGGCCUUCGGGUUGUAAACCGCUUUCGCCUGGGACGAAGGGGGAGGGACGGUAAUGGGUAAAGAAGCACCGGUUAACUACGU